AUAUAAAUCUCUUGGAUACCUUUGUUAAAAUAUAAAUUCUAAAUCAGUAUGUCUGAGAAUCUAUAUUUCUAACAAGAUCCCAUAAGAUGAUGAU
rnacentral:miRNA from 1 species